rnacentral:rRNA from 1 species
GACAGAGGGUGCAAACGUUGUUCGGAAUUACUGGGCGUAAAGCGCGUGUAGGCGGCUCUGCAAGUCGGAUGUGAAAGCCCACGGCUCAACCGUGGAAGUGCAUUCGAAACUGCAGGGCUAGAGUCCUGGAGAGGAAGGUGGAAUGCUUGGUGUAGAGGUGAAAUUCGUAGAUAUCAAGCGGAACACCGGUGGCGAAGGCGGCCUUCUGGACAGUGACUGACGCUGAGACGCGAAAGCGUGGGGAGCAAACAGGG